rnacentral:rRNA from 1 species
UACGGAGGGUGCAAACGUUGCUCGGAAUCAUUGGGCGUAAAGCGCACGUAGGCGGCCUGUUAAGUCGGUGGUGAAAUCCUGGAGCUCAACUCCAGAACUGCCUUCGAUACUGAGAGUCUCGAGUCCGGGAGAGGUGAGUGGAACUGCGAGUGUAGAGGUGAAAUUCGUAGAUAUUCGCAAGAACACCAGUGGCGAAGGCGGCUCACUGGCCCGGUACUGACGCUGAGGUGCGAAAGCGUGGGGAGCAAACAGG